GACGAACGCUGGCGGCGUGCUUAACACAUGCAAGUCGAACGAGUGGCGAACGGGUGAGGAAAAUGAGGGUGGGCUGCCUUGCACUUCGGGAUGAGCAUGGGAAACUGGGUCUAAUACCGAAUAGUGCAAGAUGAGCCAGAGGCCUAUCAGCGUGUUGGGGGGGGAAUGGCUACCAUGGCGCGACGGGUAGCCGGCCUGAGAGGGUGUACGGCCACAUUGGGACUGAGACACGGCCCAGACUCCUACGGGAGGCAGCAGUGGGGAAUAUUGCACAAUGGGGGCAACCCUGAUCCAGCCAUCCCGCGUGUGCGAUGAAGGCCUUCGGGUUGUAAAGCACUUUUGGCAGGAAGACGGUACCUGCAGAAUAAGCACCGGCUAACUACGUGCCAGCCGCCGCGGUAAUUC
rnacentral:rRNA from 1 species